rnacentral:lncRNA from 1 species
ACAAGAAGGCUGAAGAAACCUUAUAAAUAACACAUUCAAGCUAAUGACUUUGAAGAAAUAUUCUUAAUUUUAAAUGAAUGGUAAAACACUUCCAAUAAGGUAUAUUUGUAAGCAAUUUCAACAAGAGUCAUAAGAGAAGACAUUAACUUUAAAGGAUGAUUCUUAACCAAUUACAGAUAACAGCUACUCUAAGUGACAACAUCAUAAAUUACACAUGUU